GGGGGGGGGGGGGGGGGGGGGGGGGGCAGGGAAGGCGAGGGGAGGGGGCGGGUUCGGGGGGUACUCGGGGGGCGAACGGGUGAGGAACACGUGAGUAACCUGCCCUUGACUUUGGGAUAACUUCAGGAAACUGGGGCGAAUACCGGAUAGGAGCUCCUGCUGCAUGGUGGGGGUUGGAAAGUUUCGGCGGUUGGGGAUGGACUCGCGGCUUAUCAGCUUGUUGGUGGGGUAGUGGCUUACCAAGGCUUUGACGGGUAGCCGGCCUGAGAGGGUGACCGGCCACAUUGGGACUGAGAUACGGCCCAGACGCCUACGGGAGGCAGCAGUGGGGAAUAUUGCACAAUGGGUGGAAGCCUGAUGCAGCAACGCCGUGUGCGGGAUGACGGCCUUCGGGUUGUAAACCGCUUUCGCUCAUGACGAAGCUUUGUGUGACGGUAGUGGGUAAAGAAGCACCGGCUAACUACGUG
rnacentral:rRNA from 1 species